GCUGAAAAGGCUUGGUUAUUGGCUGUUGGAUUGAUGUUACUGUAUCUGGUUUGAUUUGUGAACACCACAGAAUGAAAACUGUCAUCAUUUUUAUAGAGAAUGUAAAAUUGUUAAAAAUGUUUUUCUAGAAAAUCCCAGAACACUGACCAAAACAAAAGCUCAAAUGACUCCUACACUGUAAACCCGAAUGCUCAAAUUAGUUAAUUGUAUUAAGUAAUGCUUACUUAAAAUUUGUUAAGAAGUUAUACUAACUUGAACAUGUUAAGUGCCGGUAACUUUUUUCUUGUUUUGAGUUUACUAAACUGAUAUUUUUUGAUUAAUAUGAACUUUUCCACGGAUUAUGUAACAACUACUUUAAAUGAUAAGUUCAUAAGUACUUAAAACUUUUCAGUUUUGACAUCAUAUAUGUCCUAUUUUGACCAAAUAAAUCAAUCGCAUGUGUAAAUAAAAAACUGUUAGAAGAAUUGUUGAAUCAAUAUAUGUUGCUACAUUUCAUAGAUUGGCAAAAAUCAAUAUAUUGCAUGUUAGGAAUUAAUAAUUUUCAUAUUAUAAUGUUGACUAAUGUUGACAAAUAUUAAUGAAUAACAAUGACCUCUGGGCAUCCACACUAAAUAUAAAUCAAGACAAACACGCUUGUACCGGAAGUGUCCACGCGCUUUUAUUUUGAAAUUUUUGCGUGCGUUUCCUGUGCUGCCCGUGUGGAGCUGCUCGCGUCACCUGAGGUGAAACACGCUACCCCACAGAGAGGACUGCCGUCGGAGUUAUUGUCAUCGGAGUUUCUGCUUUUUUCGCCAGGUUUCAGCGCCAUUGGAUUAAAUGAAUUACAUGAUGUGUACACAAGGCGUACCACUAUCCUACAUGCCCUUCCUGUAUAUCUGCGGGAGGAAAUCUCUGGAUUUUACAGAACAUGCGUGGUAAGUCCCAGUAAAAUAAUAUCAAGCCCUGUCUGUAUUAAGACAUUAAUAUUUUGAUUUUGUUUAAUGACAACACCUGCAUCAACAUUUUGUGAAAUCUUUGAGAGAUGUUUUUAAACCUGUAAAGUCUGUGCUGAUUUUGCAGACAAAAUCAUAUAAGUCAGUAGCCCUGUAAUGCCACACUUCCAAGUCAUCUCACCUUCUCUGUGACAAAGCAGUAAAAUGAAGAGAGGUCCAUCGGACUUGUGUACACAGUAUUUUUUUAUGACAUUUAACUGUAAUCUAAAUAAUUUGCUUCCCACACCCUUAGUACCCAUUGUGUUUCAGUAGACAUGAUUAAUUUAUGCGUAUAAUCUCUCUUCAUUCUUUUAGGAUGAUUUAGAGGAGCCAGAUGUCACAGAUGCAACGGUGGCCCUCCUUACAACCAUCAGCGAAAAUACCAUGAGUCCAGUCCACUACCACCCAGUAAAAACCUCUGUUGUCCUCGAAGGUGAUGUGGUGGUCAGCCUCCCCAGACUUGAUGAUGGAUUCCUCGUAAUGUUCGGCCUAAUCUAUGCGCUACAUCUGAGCUAUCCCCAAGGACUGACCAACACUUUUGAGUUCAUUCAGAAAGUCGUACUUGGUCUGGAUGAGGGUAAAUUGUCACCCAGGCUGCAGACACUCAAGAAUGACUUGAUGAUAUGAUGAUGACAUCAUCUACAACAGUGUCCAUGUUGACGACUGUUUAACUGUGUUGAAGUUACUCCACAGGCCUAUUUGUUCAUGCAGUUUCACAUUUUAAAGGAAAACACAGUUCAUAGUGUUGAACUUUGUUUAGAUUUUAGUAAUUUAGUUGCUGGGACCUUAUUUCCCUCUGAGGACUUCUUGUUUAUUCUAUGGUAUGCUUCUUGUUUUAUUAUAUGGUGAAAAAAUGUUUAAAUUCAUUUUCCAAAGCUACAUACCUUGAAGUUCAAAGUUUAAAGCAAAUGUAAACCUUUGUACAUGUUAAUGUGGAUUUUUAUAUAUAUAUAUAAUGUUGCCCUACAGUAUUACAACCAGAUAGUCCAGCUUUUGUUUUGCUUUUUGUCUUUCAAAUAUAUAUUACUAUGUUUCAGUAUGUGCUAAAAAGGAAGAGUCAUUGACCAUGUUUGGGGUUUUUUUUGCCAUUGUUUUUUUUUUUUUGUUUGUUUGUUUUUUAGUUAGUAGGACUCAAUGCAAUUGUAAUAUUUUAAGUUUUGGGGUUUUAUGAAAUCAAAUUUUUUUGAGGUCUGGUUAGUUAAAAGAUUUAAAAAAAGACUAAUAAAUAUUGAGUUCAUAAAA